GUUCAAAACAGGAAAGGCUUGCGGUGGAUACCUAGGCACCCAGAGACGAGGAAGGGCGUAGCAAGCGACGAAAUGCUUCGGGGAGUUGAAAAUAAGCAUAGAUCCGGAGAUUCCCAAAUAGGUCAACCUUUUAAACUGCCUGCUGAAUCCAUGAGCAGGCAAG
rnacentral:ncRNA from 1 species